UUUCACAAUUUCCACAACCCCUAUCCCGCCUUUCCAUAUGGCAGAGAGAAUGUUGUGUUUCUUCACCACCUCUAGAAGACUUUCCCAAACAUGGAAGUCUCGCUUGCACGUCCCGCCUUCUUGUUUCGUGUUGAAUCUCUCCUCUUUCACUUCAUCACGCGCUCACACAGACAGAUUAACCUGAGAGCGAGAGAGAGAGAGAGAGAGAGAGAGAGAGAGAUACGCAGCAGUUGGUUCUCUGUGUUUUGUUCUUCAUUUGUAUUGGCAAUGUCGCUGCGCUCGGGUGUCAUUUUCUUGAUGGGUUUUUUUUUUUUUUUUUUUUUUUAGUGAUGAAAGCUUUUUCCCUUUUGAAGCAGAAAUUUGGUCAGUCUUUUGAAGUUUCUCGUGUUUGGUUCAGGUCAUUUGGGGAGGUGGUAGGAAAAGAAAGGGACGAGGUAAACAGUUGAUGGGUCUAAAACAAUGCCCUGAACCAAGGGCUUGCAGCUGAACUGUUUGAUCAAAUGUCUCAAUCACGUAACAUUCCGGUUGUUACAACUCUUGUAGUAUGCUAGACAGCGAAUGCAAGGCUGCUAGAUUUAUUCCACGAUCAAGGAUAAAGAGGGGCCUUCCUAUGUGUUUUGUUAGAUGCAUAUCUUUUGGUGUUGGAGAUAGGGCUUCCAAGGAGGGUAAAGAGGCUCUGCGUCAGGUUGAUCCUUUUGCAAGCUUGACUUACCAAUAAGCCAAGACCUCUGGAGCCCGUGUUACUAGUGCAGGUUUGACAUAUGCUAAAGAGAUUGUGGAGCAAUAAAGAUGAUAUUUCCUGCAGGAGAUGACGAUGCAUUGGUUGUAGCAAAAGCUCAAGCCGUGGUGUCACUACACCAGAAAGAAGCAGAGUUACUGAGUCCCAUAGCCGAGGUUCCCAAAGAAAGAACAAGCUUAAAUACUCAGAAAAGGAAAAGCAUCAUAAACCUGUAAGUUGAUGCUGCUGCUACUACUUUGUCUUCUCUGAGGCAAAGGAUUUAGACACUUUUCAAUGUGUGUUCUAGUGGUUUAUCUCUCAUGAAUUACUGAUUUUCCAUCUUUGGAUGCUUGAAGACAGCUUCUGAUGUACUCUCCAUAAAUAGAUACUUAGACAACUCUACCCGUGGAAAAGCCUAGGUAAUUUUAAAGGGUUUUAACCAUAGUCAGCAUGGCAUUUCGUAGCCUAUAUACAGUUGGAGUUUUUGUUACUCCUUUGAGCUCAGUUAACUAAUUUGAUCAUGUGAGUACUAAGAGACAUAUACAAUGACUUUACAUCCUUCACAAGGUUCAUGGUAGUUUCUGUUAUGUAUUACCACAUUGAUGGUGGCAUGUUUGGACAUAUUUCAUAGGAAAGACUGACAUGUUGAUGCCAUGUUUCA